rnacentral:rRNA from 1 species
UACGUAGGCAGCAAGCGUUGUUCGGAAUUACUGGGCGUAAAGAGUGUGUAGGCGGUGCUCCAAGUCUGGUGUGAAAUCUCCCGGCUUAACUGGGAGGGUGCAUUAGAAACUGGAAUGCUAGAGGAUGGGAGAGGUAAGCGGAAUUCCUGGUGUAGCAGUGAAAUGCGUAGAGAUCGGGAGGAACACCAGUGGCGAAGGCGGCCUUCUGGACCAAUACUGACGCUCAUGCACGAAAGCGUGGGGAGCAAACAGG